AGAAUCAACGCUGGCGGCGUGCCUAACACAUGCAAGUCGAACGCGAAAGGGGAGCAAUCCCUGAGUAGAGUGGCAAACGGGUGAGUAACACGUGGGUGACCUGCCUUCGAGUGGGGGAUAACGUUCCGAAAGGAACGCUAAUACCGCAUGACAUCCUGCUUUUGGACAAGCGGAGAUCAAAGCUGGGGAUUCGCAAGAACCUAGCGCUUGAAGAGGGGCCCGCGCCUGAUUAGCUAGUUGGUGAGGUAACGGCUCACCAAGGCUACGAUCAGUA
rnacentral:rRNA from 1 species